CCCCUAGAUGUUCUGGGCCGCACGCGCGCUACACUGAACAGUUCAACAAGUCUUAACCUUGGCCGAUAGGUCUGGGUAAUCUUUGAACGCUGUUCGUGAUUGGGAUAGACCUUUGCAAUUAUGGGUCUUCAACGAGGAAUUCCUAGUAAACGCAAGUCAUCAGCUUGCAUUGAUUACGUCCCUGCCCUUUGUACACACCGCCCGUCGCACCUACCGAUUGAAUGGUCCGGUGAAAUUCUCGGACGCGGACUAGCGAUGUUAAUUCGGAGCUUGACUGUGAAAGUUAAUUAAACCUUACCAUUUAGAGGAAGGUGAAGUCGUAACA
rnacentral:rRNA from 1 species